CAGUAGCCGCGGGAAUACGUAGGUGGCAAGCGUUGUCCGGAAUUAUUGGGCGUAAAGGGCUCGCAGGCGGUUUCUUAAGUCUGAUGUGAAAGCCCCCGGCUCAACCGGGGAGGGUCAUUGGAAACUGGGGAACUUGAGAGCAGAAGAGGAGAGUGGAAUUCCACGUGUAGCGGUGAAAUGCGUAGAGAUGUGGAGGAACACCAGUGGCGAAGGCGACUCUCUGGUCUGUAACUGACGCUGAGGAGCGAAAGCGUGGGGAGCGAACAGGAUUAGAUACCCGCGUAGUCCCUGUCUCUUAUAC
rnacentral:rRNA from 1 species